rnacentral:tRNA from 1 species
GUGAGAGUGGUGGAAUUGGCAUACAUAGUGGACUUAAAAUCCAUUGUCUUAUGACAUGAGGGUUCGAGUCCCUCCUUUCACA